GGAUGCGAUCAUACUAGCACUAAUGUAUCGGAUCCCAUCAGAACUCCGAAGUUAAGCAUGCUUGGGCGAUGGGUGACCUCCUGGGAAGUCCUCGUGUUGCAUUUC
rfam:Triticum urartu cultivar G1812 contig1160098, whole genome shotgun sequence.